GAUGAACGCUGGCGGCGUGCCUAAUACAUGCAAGUCGAGCGAACAGACGAGGAGCUUGCUCCUCUGACGUUAGCGGCGGACGGGUGAGUAACACGUGGAUAACCUACCUAUAAGACUGGGAUAACUUCGGGAAACCGGAGCUAAUACCGGAUAAUAUAUUGAACCGCAUGGUUCAAUAGUGAAAGACGGUUUUGCUGUCACUUAUAGAUGGAUCCGCGCCGCAUUAGCUAGUUGGUAAGGUAACGGCUUACCAAGGCAACGAUGCGUAGCCGACCUGAGAGGGUGAUAGGCCACACUGGAACUGAGACACGGUCCAGACUCCUACGGGAGGCAGCAGUAGGGAAUCUUCCGCAAUGGGCGAAAGCCUGACGGAGCAACGCCGCGUGAGUGAUGAAGGUCUUCGGAUCGUAAAACUCUGUUAUUAGGGAAGAACAAAUGUGUAAGUAACUAUGGACGUCUUGACGGUACCUAAUCAGAAAGCCACGGCUAACUACGUG
rnacentral:rRNA from 1 species